GGGGAAUUUUCCGCAAUGGGCGAAAGCCUGACGGAGCAAUACCGCGUGAGGGAUGACGGCCUAUGGGUUGUAAACCUCUUUUUUCAGGGAGGAAUAAAUGACGUGUACCUGUUUUAGGGAAGGAUAAAUGACGUGUACCUGAAGAAUAAGCAUCGGCUAACUCCGUGCCAGCAGCCGCGGUAAGACGGGGGAUGCAAGUGUUAUCCGGAAUCACUGGGCGUAAAGCGUCUGUAGGUGGUUUGAUAAGUCAACUGUUAAAUCUUGAGGCUUAACCUCAAAAUCGCAGUCGAAACUAUUAGACUAGAGUAUAGUAGGGGUAAAGGGAAUUUCCAGUGGAGCGGUGAAAUGCGUAGAUAUUGGAAGGAACACCGAUGGCGAAGGCACUUUACUGGGCUAUUACUAACACUCAGAGACGAAAGCUAGGGUAGCAAAUGGGAUUAGAUACCCCAGUAGUC
rnacentral:rRNA from 1 species